AACCUAUGAAAAAAAAACCAGCUAACAGAUCCAGUCGUUGACGAUUCCUCCUGCGCUCGAAUCACACGCGCACGUCCCCCCGCUCGGUCCCUUCCCCGCAGCCCUUUCAGUUCAACGUCGCACGACAACCGCCGCUGUUCACGUUGAGUAUCCGCCGGGGUUCACUUCCACGGCGAUCCCUAUGUGCGGCGCCGUUCUUGACGAGUUUUGAGGACCCGCAGAUUCGUCGCCGCCCAGAUGCAGGAACCGUCGUGAUUCGCGUAAUGAUCCGACGCCGAUCCGUUCCAGGAGCCGUCAUCGUUCGCGUACAGAUCCGCCGCCGAUCCGCGGCCUGAGUCGCGGUUCGCGUACAGAUCCAGCGGUGAUCCCUUGCCGUAGCCGAUCGCGAAUAUAGGUGCAUAUGGGGAAUUCAAAAAGCAAGGCAGGUGAACAUCAACAAAUAGAGGAUGUUACUACGGGCCUUACGAGCGGGAGAAAUGUUGAAUAAUACAAUGCAAGCAUCAUACCCGUAGCUGAAAAUGUUGACGAUACUUACACGAUGGUUCCAGAUGGAUCAAGAUCGCUAUGGAUUGGAGACCAUCAUGAUGCUUCGUUGUUGGCUCCAAGUAAUCUAACACAGGAUUAUGGCACAUAUGUAGCAUAGGAUUCAUAUGGUACUGACUCAUCCGCAUUUCAUAUGACAUGGUUUAUAAUUAUGGGUGUUCACCUUCAUGUACAACAUACCGCAUUUUUUGUUGAUUGGUAAGUUGUAGGGUGUGAACCUUUAAACGAUGAGAUGCGCAUGUUGAAUCAGAAUAAGACGGAUGGUGUGAUGAAGCUACAAGAUGAUACUCAAGACGACAGAACUUCCGAGCAGCACGCAACAGGAGUUGUAUUUAAUGAACACAAAAAUUACGCUGACGGAACAAGGGAGCAGUUCAACGCACAGAGGCGUGCAGCUUAUCGGAAGAACAAAGAGGAGGAUACUGUCAGGUUACAAGAGGAGAAUCAACCUUCCCUUUCAAAUUCUGGACACAGUGAGAUGCAACGCGAGGGAAAUUGAAGCCAAAACAUGCAGGAUGACAGGAGUGUGCCAUUUUUUCUAUGACAGGUUAGUGAUUUUAUCCUUUUUGUAUUUUUACAUUCCUAGGUACAGAAGUUUAUAUGAAACGAUUUGUUAAGGGCAUGGGGUGGUUCUACAAUCUUCAGGAAAUCAAGCAGUAGCACCGGAUGCUGACAUGCAUGGAAGUAAAAAUUGAUAGGAGUACAAGCAUUGGAGGAGUACUCAGUACUCACCAUGUUCGACGAAGUCGUGGUGGUGGUGGUUGAGGAAGUCGUAGGUAACGGAGGCAUCAUCAGGGAGUAGGGACCAUCUUCUCCUCGAUUUAAAUUGUAGUACUCCAUGUACUCUCACUUGUAAACUAUUUGAAAUGCAGAUCCACUCCAAGAAUGUGCUCUAAAAUGGAGUAACAUGGAGUAUACUCUAAAAUCAGUUUAGUUUGAGCCCAGUAGAUCAAUCAAAGUACGCUGGCGUGAUAACAAGAAUACUGCAACCUAAUCAGUUUGGUUUGAGCCAAGCAAGAGUACUAAAAUCUUGACAAAAAGAAUACUACAGCACGAUGCACAUUAUUUCAGAGAUGUUGAUUUCAAUACAUACAACCCAUUGAGAAACAUGAUUUUCAGAAAUGUUGAUUUCAGUUAAACUACAACGUUUACUCCAAGUAAUACUCUAAGAAACAAUACAAGCACCUACUGUACUGAAAGUACUCCUGUAGUGCAAAUACUCUAGGCAGAAUGUACUCCUACAGUACUGAAAGUGUACUCCUGUGAGUAUCAAAUUUACUGAAUUUAGAGGCAUCAAAAUGCUCACACCCAAGUUCAAUCAUCUACACAUGGAGUAGUGCAAUCGAGAGGUCUUACCAUGCUUGAAUCAACAAGAGGCAGUGGUAUCAGGAGCUGCAUCGUCCAGGAGCAGCAGCAGCAGCCUUUCCAAUCGCUCCUUGCGCCUUGCCUUUCCAAUCUACUCACGUGGCAGAGAGCAGUUCUUGGCCAUAGUACAUCUGCAUCCAUAUUCCAUCCAGAGAAACAAUCACAAUCAGCUCCAGAAUCUCUCCUUGCCUUUCCCCAAAUCAUAGGCUCCAGAGAUUGGAAAGGGGUGGGGAAAAUUAAGGAUGCAAACCUUGCAGGUCGAGCAUGGGGAGAUCAACUUCAGGGGCGACCUAGGAGCAGGUGACGAGGAACUCAUAGAAGCGAUGGUGAUAGAGGUGAAGGUGUCCGAUGUUUCGAUGAGAUAGAUAUCAUUUUCUAUGGGAGUCGACUUUGACGAUCCGACUAUGAACGUGAGAAGACAUCGCGCCUUAGCAAUCGCUAAACCAACUUCCGAGGGUUAUUGUGAUGAGGACAUCAAUACCAUUAUUA